GAGUUUGAUCAUGGCUCAGAUUGGACGCUGGCGGCAGGCCUAACACAUGCAAGUCGAACGGUAACAGGAAGAAGCUUGCUUCUUUGCUGACGAGUGGCGGACGGGUGAGUAAUGUCUGGGAAACUGCCUGAUGGAGGGGGAUAACUACUGGAAACGGUAGCUAAUACCGCAUAACGUCGCAAGACCAAAGAGGGGGACCUUCGGGCCUCUUGCCAUCGGAUGUGCCCAGAUGGGAUUAGCUAGUAGGUGGGGUAACGGCUCACCUAGGCGACGAUCCCUAGCUGGUCUGAGAGGAUGACCAGCCACACUGGAACUGAGACACGGUCCAGACUCCUACGGGAGGCAGCAGUGGGGAAUAUUGCACAAUGGGCGCAAGCCUGAUGCAGCCAUGCCGCGUGUAUGAAGAAGGCCUUCGGGUUGUAAAGUACUUUCAGCGGGGAGGAAGGGAGUAAAGUUAAUACCUUUGCUCAUUGACGUUACCCGCAGAAGAAGCACCGGCUAACUCCGUGCCAGCAGCCGCGGUAAUACGGAGGGUGCAAGCGUUAAUCGGAAUUACUGGGCGUAAAGCGCACGCAGGCGGUUUGUUAAGUCAGAUGUGAAAUCCCCGGGCUCAACCUGGGAACUGCAUCUGAUACUGGCAAGCUUGAGUCUCGUAGAGGGGGGUAGAAUUCCAGGUGUAGCGGUGAAAUGCGUAGAGAUCUGGAGGAAUACCGGUGGCGAAGGCGGCCCCCUGGACGAAGACUGACGCUCAGGUGCGAAAGCGUGGGGAGCAAACAGGAUUAGAUACCCUGGUAGUCCACGCCGUAAACGAUGUCGACUUGGAGGUUGUGCCCUUGAGGCGUGGCUUCCGGAGCUAACGCGUUAAGUCGACCGCCUGGGGAGUACGGCCGCAAGGUUAAAACUCAAAUGAAUUGACGGGGGCCCGCACAAGCGGUGGAGCAUGUGGUUUAAUUCGAUGCAACGCGAAGAACCUUACCUGGUCUUGACAUCCACGGAAGUUUUCAGAGAUGAGAAUGUGCCUUCGGGAACCGUGAGACAGGUGCUGCAUGGCUGUCGUCAGCUCGUGUUGUGAAAUGUUGGGUUAAGUCCCGCAACGAGCGCAACCCUUAUCCUUUGUUGCCAGCGGUCCGGCCGGGACUUCAAAGGAGACUGCCAGUGGUAAACUGGAGGAAGGUGGGGAUGACGUCAGGUCAUCAUGGCCCUUACGACCAGGGCUACAC
rnacentral:rRNA from 1 species